AGAGUUUGAUCAUGGCUCAGAUUGAACGCUGGCGGCAUGCCUUACACAUGCAAGUCGAACGGCAGCACGGACUUCGGUCGGGUGGCGAGUGGCGAACGGGUGAGUAAUACAUCGGAACGUGUCCUGGAGUGGGGGAUAGCCCGGCGAAAGCCGGAUUAAUACCGCAUACGCUCUGAGGAGGAAAGCGGGGGAUCUUUCGGGACCUCGCGCUCAAGGGGCGGCCGAUGGCAGAUUAGCUAGUUGGUGGGGUAAAGGCCUACCAAGGCGACGAUCUGUAGCUGGUCUGAGAGGACGACCAGCCACACUGGGACUGAGACACGGCCCAGACUCCUACGGGAGGCAGCAGUGGGGAAUUUUGGACAAUGGGCGCAAGCCUGAUCCCAGCAAUGCCGCGUGUGUGAAGAAGGCCUUCGGGUUGUAAAGCACUUUUGUCCGGAAAGAAAACCUUUGCCCUAAUACGGCGGGGGGAUGACGGUACCGGAAGAAUAAGCACCGGCUAACUACGUGCCAGCAGCCGCGGUAAUACGUAGGGUGCAAGCGUUAAUCGGAAUUACUGGGCGUAAAGCGUGCGCAGGCGGUCCGUUAAGACAGAUGUGAAAUCCCCGGGCUUAACCUGGGAACUGCAUUUGUGACUGGCGGACUCGAGUAUGGCAGAGGGGGGUAGAAUUCCCGUGUAGCAGUGAAAUGCGUAGAGAUGUGGAGGAAUACCGAUGGCGAAGGCAGCCCCCUGGGCCAAUACUGACGCUCAUGCACGAAAGCGUGGGGAGCAAACAGGAUUAGAUACCCUAGUAGUCC
rnacentral:rRNA from 1 species